AUUGAACGCUGGCGGCAUGCCUUACACAUGCAAGUCGAACGGUAACAGGUCUUCGGAUGCUGACGAGUGGCGAACGGGUGAGUAAUACAUCGGAACGUGCCUAGUAGUGGGGGAUAACUACUCGAAAGGGUGGCUAAUACCGCAUGAGAUCUACGGAUGAAAGCAGGGGAUCGCAAGACCUUGUGCUACUAGAGCGGCCGAUGGCAGCUUAGGUAGUUGGUGGGAUAAAAGCUUACCAAGCCGACGAUCUGUAGCUGGUCUGAGAGGACGAUCAGCCACACUGGGACUGAGACACGGCCCAGACUCCUACGGGAGGCAGCAGUGGGGAAUUUUGGACAAUGGGCGCAAGCCUGAUCCAGCAAUGCCGCGUGCAGGAUGAAGGCCUUCGGGUUGUAAACUGCUUUUGUACGGAACGAAAAGCCCUGGGUUAAUACCCUGGGGUCAUGACGGUACCGUAAGAAUAAGCACCGGCUAACUACGUGCCAGCCGCCGCCGUAAAAC
rnacentral:rRNA from 1 species